ACUCCUACGGGAGGCAGCAGUGAGGAAUAUUGGACAAUGGAGGCAACUCUGAUCCAGCCAUGCCGCGUGUAGGAAGACAGCCCUAUGGGUUGUAAACUACUUUUGUACGGGAAGAAAUACAGUCACGUGUGAUUGUUUGACGGUACCGUAAGAAUAAGCACCGGCUAACUCCGUGCCAGCAGCCGCGGUAAUACGGAGGGGUGCAAGCGUUAUCCGGAAUCAUUGGGUUUAAAGGGUCCGUAGGCGGGGUAAUUAAGUCAGUGGUGAAAUGCAGGGGCUCAACUCCGGCACUGCCAUUGAUACUGGUUAUCUUGAAUUAUUGUGAAGUGGUUAGAAUAUGUAGUGUAGCGGUGAAAUGCUUAGAUAUUACAUAGAAUACCGAUUGCGAAGGCAGAUCACUAACAAUAUAUUGACGCUGAUGGACGAAAGCGUGGGGAGCGAACAGGAUUAGAUACCCUGGUAGGAUAGCG
rnacentral:rRNA from 1 species